rnacentral:rRNA from 1 species
AACGAACGCUGGCGGCAUGCCUAACACAUGCAAGUCGAACGAAGCCUUCGGGCUUAGUGGCGCACGGGUGCGUAACGCGUGGGAAUCAGCCCUUGGGUUCGGAAUAACAGUUAGAAAUGACUGCUAAUACCGGAUGAUGCCUUCGGACCAAAGAUUUAUCGCCCAAGGAUGAGCCCGCGUAGGAUUAGGUAGUUGGUGGGGUAAUGGCCCACCAAGCCGACGAUCCUUAGCUGGUCUGAGAGGAUGAUCAGCCACACUGGGACUGAGACACGGCCCAGACUCCUACGGGAGGCAGCAGUGGGGAAUAUUGGACAAUGGGCGAAAGCCUGAUCCAGCAAUGCCGCGUGAGUGAUGAAGGCCUUAGGGUUGUAAAGCUCUUUUACCAGGGAUGAUAAUGACAGUACCUGGAGAAUAAGCUCCGGCUAACUCCGUGCCAGCAGCCGCCGUAACAC